AAAUGUCAUAUCUGCUGCAAUUAAUCGUAAGUGUACCAUGCUUCAUCCUGGAUAUGGUUUCCUUACCGAGAACGCAGUUUUUUUAUAAAUGUGACGAGAUCAAAGGAUCAACUUUAUUGGGCCUAAUCCUGACAGUAUUCGUGUUAUGGGCGACAAAUCAACGGCCAGAGAAACAAUGAAGAAUGCGGGUGUUCCUACUGUUCCAGGAAGUGACGGAUUGUUACAGAGUACAGAGGAAGCGAUCAAGAUUGCCCAUGAGAUUGGCUUUCCUGUGAUGAUCAAGGGAACUGCCGGUGGUGGAGGGCGUGGAAUGCGUCUUUGCAAAAGAGCCUGAUGAAUUUGUGAAGUUACUGCAGCAAGCCAAAAGUGAAGCUGCAGCUGCAUUUGGAAACGAUUGAGUUUAUUUGGAGAAGUACAUUCAAAAUCCAACGCACAUCGAGUUCCAGGUUCUUGCAGAUAAAUAUGGUAAUGUUGUACACUUUGGUGAGCGAGACUGCAGCAUCCAGAGACGUAGCCAAAAACUUCUUGAAGAGGCUCCUUCUCCACCACUGACUCCUGAGUUGCGGAAGGCCAUGAGUGAUGCAGCAGUGGCUGCAGCAGUAUCUAUUGGUUACAUUGGUGUAGGAACUGUUGAGAUCCUUUUGGAUGAAAGAGGUUCCUUCUACUUCAUGGAAAUGAACACUCAAAUCCAAGUGGAGCAUCCUGUAACUGAAAUGAUUUCCUCUGUUGAUUGAAGAACAAAUUCGUGUAGCUAUGGGAGAAAAACUGCGGUACAAACAGGAAGAUAUUGUGCUCAGAGGGCAUUCUAUCGAAUGUCGUAUCAAUGCAGAAGAUGCUUUUAAAGGGUUUAGACCUGGACCAGGGAGAAUAACAUACUACUUGCCAUCUGGAGGCCCAUUUGUUCGAAUGGAUAGCCAUGUUUAUUCUGAUUAUGUUGUUCCUCCAAGCUAUGAUUCAUUACUUGGAAAGCUUAUCGUAUGGGCUCCAACAAGGGAAAAGAAAUUGAGCGCUUGAAAAGGGCUCUUGAUGACACUGUAAUUACAGGGGUUCCUACAACAAUUGAAUACCAUAAACUCAUUAUUGAUAUUGAGGACUUCAGAAAUGGAAAAGUUGACACUGCUUUCAUUCCAAAGCAUGAAGAAGAGUUAGAAGCGCCACAGAAAAAGGUGAUAGAGACCACAGCCAAAGAAUUAACAAGUGCAAGUGCUUAGAUCAGAAGAUGGGUUAGUUUCAACUUUGGUAAUGUUUAGUGCAUUGUGAGGAUUGUUUGAUAUUUUGAUAAUCAAUCAACUCUUUCCUUGGGUGGUGGAA